GGGUUGUGAGGUUAAGUGACUAAGCGUACACGGUGGAUGCCUAGGCAGUCAGAGGCGAUGAAGGGCGUGCUAAUCUGCGAAAAGCGUCGGUAAGGUGAUAUGAACCGUUAUAACCGGCGAUACCCGAAUGGGGAAACCCAGUGUGUUUCGACACACUAUCAUGUCAUGAAUACAUAGUGGCAUGAGGCGAACCGGGGGAACUGAAACAUCUAAGUACCCCGAGGAAAAGAAAUCAACCGAGAUUCCCCCAGUAGCGGCGAGCGAACGGGGAGAAGCCCAGAACCUGAAUCGGCUUGUGUGUUAGUGGAAGCGUCUGGAAAGUCGCGCAGCAAAGGGUGAUAGCCCCGUACACUAAAAUGCACAGGUCGUGAGUUCGAUGAGUAGGGCGGGACACGUGACAUCCUGUCUGAAUAUGGGGGGACCAUCCUCCAAGGCUAAAUACUCCUGACUGACCGAUAGUGAACCAGUACCGUGAGGAAAGGCGAAAAGAACCCCGGCGAGGGGAGUGAAAUAGAACCUGAAACCGUGUACGUACAAGCAGUGGGAGCACCUUCGUGGUGUGACUGCGUACCUUUUGUAUAAUGGGUCAGCGACUUAUAUUUUGUAGCAAGGUUAACCGUAUAGGGGAGCCGUAGGGAAACCGAGUCUUAACUGGGCGAAUAGUUGCAAGGUAUAGACCCGAAACCCGGUGAUCUAGCCAUGGGCAGGUUGAAGGUUGGGUAACACUAACUGGAGGACCGAACCGACUAAUGUUGAAAAAUUAGCGGAUGACUUGUGGCUGGGGGUGAAAGGCCAAUCAAACCGGGAGAUAGCUGGUUCUCCCCGAAAGCUAUUUAGGUAGCGCCUCGUGAACUCAUCUUCGGGGGUAGAGCACUGUUUCGGCUAGGGGGCCAUCCCGGCUUACCAAACCGAUGCAAACUCCGAAUACCGAAGAAUGUUAUCACGGGAGACACGGCGGGUGCUAACGUCCGUCGUGAAGAGGGAAACAACCCAGACCGCCAGCUAAGGUCCCAAAGUCAUGGUUAAGUGGGAAACGAUGUGGGAAGGCACAGACAGCCAGGAUGUUGGCUUAGAAGCAGCCAUCAUUUAAAGAAAGCGUAAUAGCUCACUGGUCGAGUCGGCCUGCGCGGAAGAUGUAACGGGGCUAAACCAUGCACCGAAGCUGCGGCAGCGACGCUUAGGCGUUGUUGGGUAGGCGUUCUGUAAGCCGUUGAAGGUGGCCUGUGAGGGUUGCUGGAGGUAUCAGAAGUGCGAAUGCUGACAUAAGUAACGAUAAAGCGGGUGAAAAGCCCGCUCGCCGGAAGACCAAGGGUUCCUGUCCAACGUUAAUCGGGGCAGGGUGAGUCGACCCCUAAGGCGAGGCUGAAAAGCGUAGUCGAUGGGAAACAGGUUAAUAUUCCUGUACUUGGUGUUACUGCGAAGGGGGGACGGAGAAGGCUAGGCUAGCCGGGCGACGGUUGUCCCGGUUUAAGCGUGUAGGGGGUGUGACCUGGUAAAUCCGGUUGCAUAUCAACCCUGAGGCGUGAUGACGAUGCACUACGGUGCAGAAGUAGUUGAUGCCCUGCUUCCAGGAAAAUCCUCUAAGCUCCAGGUAACAUUGAAUCGUACCCCAAACCGACACAGGUGGUCAGGUAGAGAAUACCAAGGCGCUUGAGAGAACUCGGGUGAAGGAACUAGGCAAAAUGGUGCCGUAACUUCGGGAGAAGGCACGCUGGCAUGUAGGUGAAGUCCCUUGCGGAUGGAGCUGAAGCCAGUCGAAGAUACCAGCUGGCUGCAACUGUUUAAUAAAAACACAGCACUGUGCAAACACGAAAGUGGACGUAUACGGUGUGACGCCUGCCCGGUGCUGGAAGGUUAAUUGAUGGGGUCAGCCGCAAGGCGAAGCUCUUGAUCGAAGCCCCAGUAAACGGCGGCCGUAACUAUAACGGUCCUAAGGUAGCGAAAUUCCUUGUCGGGUAAGUUCCGACCUGCACGAAUGGCGUAAUGAUGGCCAGGCUGUCUCCACCCGAGACUCAGUGAAAUUGAACUCGCUGUGAAGAUGCAGUGUACCCGCGGCAAGACGGAAAGACCCCGUGAACCUUUACUAUAGCUUGACACUGAACAUUGAGCCUUGAUGUGUAGGAUAGGUGGGAGGCUUUGAAGCGUGGACGCCAGUCUGCGUGGAGCCAUCCUUGAAAUACCACCCUUUAAUGUUUGAUGUUCUAACUCUGCCCCGUGAUCCGGGGUGAGGACAGUGUCUGGUGGGUAGUUUGACUGGGGCGGUCUCCUCCCAAAGAGUAACGGAGGAGCACGAAGGUUAGCUAAUCACGGUCGGACAUCGUGAGGUUAGUGCAAAGGCAUAAGCUAGCUUGACUGCGAGUGACGGCUCGAGCAGGUACGAAAGUAGGUCUUAGUGAUCCGGUGGUUCUGAAUGGAAGGGCCAUCGCUCAACGGAUAAAAGGUACUCCGGGGAUAACAGGCUGAUACCGCCCAAGAGUUCAUAUCGACGGCGGUGUUUGGCACCUCGAUGUCGGCUCAUCACAUCCUGGGGCUGAAGUAGGUCCCAAGGGUAUGGCUGUUCGCCAUUUAAAGUGGUACGCGAGCUGGGUUUAGAACGUCGUGAGACAGUUCGGUCCCUAUCUGCCGUGGGCGUUGGAAGAUUGAGAGGGGUUGCUCCUAGUACGAGAGGACCGGAGUGAACGCACCACUGGUGUUCGGGUUGUCAUGCCAAUGGCAUUGCCCGGUAGCUAAGUGCGGAAAAGAUAAGCGCUGAAAGCAUCUAAGCGCGAAACUUGCCUCAAGAUGAGUCUUCCCUGGGCCUUUAAGGCCCCUGAAGGAACGUUUAAGACUAAGACGUUGAUAGGCUGGGUGUGUGUAAGUGCAGCGAUGCAUUGAGCUAACCAGUACUAAUGAUCCGUGAGGCUUAACCUUACAACACCGAAGGUGUUUUAG
rnacentral:rRNA from 1 species